rnacentral:rRNA from 1 species
AGAGUUUGAUCCUGGCUCAGAUUGAACGCUGGCGGCGUGCCUAACACAUGCAAGUCGAACGAGAAACUCCGGGCUUGCUCGGGGGAGUAAAGUGGCGCACGGGUGAGUAACGCGUGGGUAACCUGCCCUUGAAUCUGGGAUAACUUCGCGAAAGUGUUGCUAAUACCGGAUGUCGUUUCGUGAACUGUGGUUUGCGGGAUGAAAGGUGACCUCUUCAAGAAAGUUGCCGUUCAGGGAGGGGCUCGCGUCCCAUUAGCUUGUUGGUGGGGUAAUGGCCUACCAAGGCUACGAUGGGUAGCUGGUCUGAGAGGAUGAUCAGCCACACUGGAACUGAAACACGGUCCAGACUCCUACGGGAGGCAGCAGUGAGGAAUUUUGCGCAAUGGGGGAAACCCUGACGCAGCAACGCCGCGUGAGUGAAGAAGGCCUUCGGGUCGUAAAGCUCUGUCAAAUGGGAAAAAAUCCUUUCAGUGAAUAGCUGGAAGGCCUGAUGGUACCAUUAGAGGAAGCACCGGCUAACUCCGUGCCAGCAGCCGCGGUAAUACGGAGGGUGCUAGCGUUGUUCGGAAUUACUGGGCGUAAAGAGCGUGUAGGCGGUUGGGAAAGUCAGAUGUGAAAGCCCGGGGCUCAACCCCGGAAGUGCAUUUGAAACUUCCCGGCUAGAGUAUGGGAGAGGAGAGUGGAAUUCCCAGUGUAGAGGUGAAAUUCGUAGAUAUUGGGAGGAACACCCGUGGCGAAGGCGACUCUCUGGACCAAUACUGACGCUGAGACGCGAAAGCGUGGGGAGCAAACAGGAUUAGAUACCCUGGUAGUCCACGCCGUAAACGAUGAGAACUAGGUGUAGCGGGUAUUGACCCCUGCUGUGCCGGAGCUAACGCAUUAAGUUCUCCGCCUGGGGAGUACGGCCGCAAGGCUAAAACUCAAAGGAAUUGACGG